AAGGAUGAGAAGCUUCGACUAAGGUUCGACUCGAGCGAAGCGAGAGAACGUUGCCGCAGGCAAUGGCCCGAAGGCGAGGCGCUUUAGCGCCGAGUAAUCCUUCCCCCACCACUG
rnacentral:sRNA from 1 species